UUACUUUGGCCCAUGUACAAGAAGAGCUAGAUCCUUUGUCAUCUUUCCAGAUUCCACUGUUCCCACACAAGCAGCUUCAAGUUUUUGUACAAAAUCUAACAGUCUUUUAUUGUCAUCGAGCUUUGCCCUGUUGUGGUGUUCCGGUUGUCCAAGCAAAUAUUGAAGCAAUGCUAUUUGUACUAGUUUCGCCUCCUUUUUGGUGAACUCUGUAAUGGCGUGUGACUGUACCAUGAGCAGCUUCAGCUUCAAUGGUUCUACCAUCAGGGCACACCUAAGGCAAUGCAGAACUUAUUUCAAAAACCUUGAGCAAUUAGAUCGCUCUGCACAUCUCCAUCAUAGUUCUUGCAAGCCCAAACAUAGCCACCUUCACUCUUAAGGGCAUAGGCCACCAUAUCAUCAAUCAGCCGAUGUUCUAAUAUUUCAAUAUGGACAUACAUGUCUAUUAAAAGAAACAAAUAGCAUACGACGAUUGACUAUUGACCUUCCAUCGUAUUUUUUGAGGAUCGUGUUUUUGGUGCUAAGAUAAAGUGGCCAUCUUUUCUGGUAAGCCAUGUUCAUGGAAGCUUCAGCGAAUGCCCAAAUAGACUAUUUGCAACAAACAUAAAAUAGAGGUUGUCAAGUUUAAAACCCUAUCUGCAGCCACUAUCAUGACAUUAGCUUUAUUGAGACAUACCAAAUACUAACUUCAACUUCCCAGGACCUUUAAUAACUGUAUCUGUUGCUCGGUAUUGAUCACCAAAUGCAUGUCGUCCAAUGCAUAUGGGCUUUAUCCACCCUGGAAGCAUAAAAAAAAUAGUGUAACUACCAAUGAAUUCUACUAUCGGUUUACCAUUCAAAAUGUUCCUUAUUGUCCCAUUUGGACUCUUCCACAUUGCACUUAAAUUAAACUCUUUCACGCGUCCUUCAUCUGUAGGCUCAUGAAUAGCUUACAGGCUUACUUUAGGGUCGCUUCUGCACUCUCUAUUGUAACUUUGUCCCCAGUAGCGUCACGAUUAGGUAGACCUAAGUCAUAGUAUUUUAUGUCCAAGUCCAAGAAAGGGAAUAUAAGCU
rnacentral:sRNA from 1 species